rnacentral:rRNA from 1 species
GAUGAACGCUGGCGGCGUGCCUAAUACAUGCAAGUCGAGCGAACAGACGAGGAGCUUGCUCCUCUGACGUUAGCGGCGGACGGGUGAGUAACACGUGGAUAACCUACCUAUAAGACUGGGAUAACUUCGGGAAACCGGAGCUAAUACCGGAUAAUAUAUUGAACCGCAUGGUUCAAUAGUGAAAGACGGUUUUGCUGUCACUUAUAGAUGGAUCCGCGCCGCAUUAGCUAGUUGGUAAGGUAACGGCUUACCAAGGCGACGAUGCGUAGCCGACCUGAGAGGGUGAUCGGCCACACUGGAACUGAGACACGGUCCAGACUCCUACGGGAGGCAGCAGUAGGGAAUCUUCCGCAAUGGGCGAAAGCCUGGCGGAGCAACGCCGCGUGAGUGAUGAAGGUCUUCGGAUCGUAAAACUCUGUUAUUAGGGAAGAACAAAUGUGUAAGUAACUAUGCACGUCUUGACGGUACCUAAUCAGAGAGCCACGGCUAACUACGUG